rnacentral:lncRNA from 1 species
AUCAAUGCAAGAAAUCAUCCUACAUGAAAAAGGAAGCUCAAAAUUUUGUUUAUGUAAAAACUUUUUUAAAUUACUUGAGUUUUGUUAACAUUUAUCCUUUUACAUAGGGUUGCUAAAGUUAGCGAAUAAAUUAUAGGAUACCCAGUUAAAAUUUAAUUUCAGGUAAACAACAAAUAGAUUUUUAGUAUAAGUAGGUCCCAUGAAAUGUUUAUGACAUAUAUAUACUAAAAACUCAUUCAUUAUUUAAUCUAAAAUUUAUAUUUAGCUUGGCAUCCUAUAUUUUGUCUGGCAACCCUCCUUUUAAGAAAAUCUAAUAAUCCAUAUUUACCUGAUAGGUAAAUUAGAAUACUGAUUCUUUUUUGAAUGAAAAUAAUGUAUUUUUUUAAAUUUUUCUAACUUUAGUUCCUCUAAUAGAAAUUAAUUUAGAUAACUAAGGAACCAUAGGAAUUUAAAAGCUGACCUAUCAGAAAUAACUUCAGCUAUAUUACAUUAAAAAUGAAGAGAUGGAAUCUGAAAUAGGAAAGUAAGAUUUAUACCCAUUAUUCAGCCAAAAUCUGUUUUUCUUUAACUUCUACCCAUUGUUCCUAAGUCUGCCCUCUGGGGGCUGUAGAAAAUAAUGAAGAUGAUGUUAUUAAUGAUAACCAGUGCUUGCUGUAACCAGUUAUGUGCAUUAUUUUAUUGGAUUUAAUUUGUUUACUCUUUAUAACAGCAUGUGAGGGAGGUGCUUUUCUGAUUUCCAUUCUACAAAAUAAGAAACUAAAGCACAGAGUAGUUGAUUAGCUUAACCAUAACCACAUCUCUUUGUCAACUCUUAAAGUACCAGAGCUUUCAUAGUUUUAAAGUUCCCAAUUCCUUCUACCAUUUCUUUUAGUACAGGGUCUCUAGACCCUUUCCUGUCCUCAUUCAACUCUCAGCUUGUUGUGGCUUGUCAGUGCCCUGAAAUAUGUUAUGGCCAAAAUUUAAAAGUAUACUUCAUAGAUCAUAUAAUUUACAAGUAGAGUACAGCAGGAUUUUUAAUGGCCUUGGUACUAAAGUUAUAUUGCCAAUAGUGACCCAUGGAUUAGCUGAGUUUUGUUUCGUUCUAGUUUUUGAAUGGGGAAUGUACUUUUACAUAAUACAGUUGGCUCAGGUUGACCUUUUAGUCAGGUGAAACUUCCAGGUUCUUAUCUGUACUAAAUGCAGACGUUCCUAUGCCUCUGCUUUCUUCCCAGUUGGCUUGAGUAGAUGUCCAAGGGAUUGACAUCAGCAUGUCUAUAUUGUUUGACCAUUUCAGCUUUGGGGAAGAAGAAGGAGCCCAGCUAUGUUGUGUUUUUUGCUAGUAUGAUGUUGGGCUAACUUUUAUAGCAUUUUUCCUUUUUGGAUAACUUAAUUUACCACGUAAUUGUCCAUGCUGGGGUGGAGCAAAGAUUUAUCCAAAAGGUUACUUUUAUUAGAAAAGUGUACUGCUUUAGGGUUUUGAAUUUCUGACUACUGGCUGACAGUAACCUUAUUUGCUGAGUAUCAGUUGUCGUUCAGUUACUCUUUCCCUGUCUCAUUGGCUUUUCUCUCCCUGUUUCCCAUUUUGACUUUAUACUGAAUAAAAUCAAACGUCUAAGUACUCUACUUACUAUAUACACCUUGCCAUUUAUAUGUAACAAGUCUCUUGCAGGAAAGUGUUCAAAUGAUGCGAUCUUUGUUUUAUGCUAUUGGAAAAUAUACUUGUCAACCUUAAGAAAUAGUAUAUUCAGUCAACGCUUCAUUAAAUGUAGUAUUCUUUCCUGAAAAAUAAAACCCAGUGCUCUGUUUAGUUCUUACCUACAUUAUAGUCUGCAAAUAAGACAUAUGACAAAUUGGUUCCUUGCAGUCCCCCACUAGUAUCCCCAUGGCAGAUCUAGGAGCCAGCAACUGGCAAAGCAGAAAUGAGGUUUGCAGAAUUGUUAGCCCAGCAUCACAGAGGAGGAUGAAUUUGUAGUUGGUAGACAAAGGUUUAAUAACCGACACAGAAGAAUAAAUGCCUUCUUCCUGUUUGGCUAUGAGCCCCUUGAU